rnacentral:rRNA from 1 species
GAUGAACGCUGGCGGCGUGCCUAAUACAUGCAAGUCGAGCGAACGGACGAGAAGCUUGCUUCUCUGAUGUUAGCGGCGGACGGGUGAGUAACACGUGGAUAACCUACCUAUAAGACUGGGAUAACUUCGGGAAACCGGAGCUAAUACCGGAUAAUAUUUUGAACCGCAUUGUUCAAAAGUGAAAGACGGUCUUGCUGUCACUUAUAGAUGUAUCCGGGCUUCAUUAGCUAGUUGGUAAGGUAACGGCUUACCAAGGCAACGAUGCAUAGCCGACCUGAGAGGGGGAGCGGAGACACAGGAAGGGAGACACGGUCCAGAAAACUACGGGAGGCAGCAGUAGGGAAUAUUCCGCAAUGGGCGAAAGAAUGACGGAGCAACGCCGCGUGAGAGAUGAAGGUAUUCGGAUCGUAAAACUCUGUUAUUAGGGAAGAACAUAUGUGUAAGUAACUGUGCACAUAUUGACGGUAACUAAUAAGAAAGCCACGGCUAACUACGUG